GGAGUGCCGGGAAAGUCCUGAUAUUCUGAACUGAUUAAUAUUGACGCGUUCGUGGCUCACGUCAGUGUGGAAGACUCGGACACAGGAAAAAAUGGAGAAUAUGUGUGCUCCAUCUCCUCCUCCUUUUUUGACAUCAAGCCUCUGCAAAGUAAGGGUUACAAAGUCGUGGUGAAAACACCUUUGGACAGAGAAAAAGCCAGUGAACACAACGUAACAGUUUCUUGUCAUGACUUAGGAACACCCCCAUUAUAUUCCUCCGUUAGUUUCAUCGUACAAGUUGGGGAUGAAAAUGACAACAGACCUAGUGUUUCUCCAGCAGACCUACUUUGCAAGCAUAGAAGAGAAUAACCCUGUAGGUGUAACUGUCACAAAGGUUUCGGCCACUGAUAUUGACAUGGAUUUAAAUGCUCAGAUUCAGUACGUUCUCCACAGCGAUGCUGGGUCUUCAUUUAGUAUCAAUCGAAUCACUGGAGUCAUCAACGCCACUGGGGUACUAGACAGGGAGACCACUAGUGACUAUUUAUUCCGAGUCUUAGCGGUGGAUGGUGGAAAGGAACCAAAAACCGGCACUGCCACAGUCAUUGUCAACAUUACAGACAUCAACGAUAACAAGCCCAAAUUUACAAAAUCCCUUUUCACUUUUGAAGUGAGUGAGUUAAGCGACCCUUACACCCAUGUUGGCAGGGUCACUGCACAGGAUCCAGAUUUGGGACAGAAUGCCUAUCUACAGUACUCCAUGUCUUCACAAGACAGAAAUGUUCCGUUCGAAGUCUCGCUCAAUGGAACUGUGAUUACCAGGGCUGAACUGGACAGAGAGUACAUGGGUCAGUACAAUUUCAUGGUGUAUGUUAGGGACAGUGGCAACCCUUCUCUGAACAGUUCUGCCUAUGUUACGGUAUAUGUCAUGGAUGCGAACGAUAAUGCACCCAGGAUAUUGUUUCCCAACAAAAUGAACAACACUGUGUCCUCCACAGUGACCUCUUUACCCAUAACCAAGAUCAUAGCAGAAGACAAAGACGAUGGCAUCAACAGGCAGCUUACCUACUUCAUACAGACCGGAAAUGACAAAAACAUGUUCAACUUGCACUCGCAGACAGGAGAACUGUUCCUGAACCAUAACUACCAGUUCACGACCGAUCAGUCCGUCAGCUUAAUCAUCUGUGUGCAAGACGGUGGGCUUCCAGUGAAAUCAGCAUGUACCCAACUUAAUGUUGAGGUGUCCAUUAAUAAUGCCACUAUUGCUGAUGAGAAACCUGAAACAGACAAUAAGUAUAUUUACAUUUCUAUUGGUGUCAUCAUCUUUACUCUCAUCAUCUCCGCCGGCAUCGUGGUCGUUAUUCUGGUCAUCAGAAAGAAAGACAAUGAGCGCAAGAAUAACAAGUCCAGUCCUGGUCCCCUGGGGGUCCCCAUGCAGAAUGGGUACACUCCCACUGGAACCUCUACCCUCCCCAAUUCUCACCCAGAGGCAGAGUACAUGGAGAGGAAGAAGGUGACGCUCAACUCGGGAACCAAUAGAGAGGGAAGUCUGGGCAGCUCCAGCCAUAACUACAGCUCCAAUAUCUCACAAAAUAAUUUAUAUGACAAGCCCCCAUCUUAUUCCUCCCUGAGACCAGAUUCUAACAUGGAAGCCAUGAAACUUCAACAAAUUCUCCUGAAAAAAGACAACCAGGUUUCUACUAACGGGAGAGCCCACCCUUGUGACAGUAAUAGCGACACGUCAGGGGAAACAAUCCCGUCAGACAGCGGGCGAGGGGGCAGUGAGGAUGAUAAUCCAAGUACUGCACAUACAGCAGAUGAUUCCAGAUCAUUUGAUUUCUACCACAGCCAAUCAAUGUCUCCUUCUUCAUUUAUUUCAUCACUGCCCAGAAAGGACAGUAAACCCCCCAGACCUCCCCCUUGCCACAUUCCCAGCAGCAGUGAUAAAAGACACUCAGCUGUUCCAUUUCAUAGUGCUCAUAACAUGCCAUAUUCCCCCAUCUCAUACUCCUCACAUAAUAACUCGGACCAGUGGGACUUCGUGAAGUCCCCCUACAACUCAAGUGUUCACAAAGACUAUUUCAAUCUUGUUGGCGGUGGCAGCCUUAUUAGCACCAACAAGUCACGGGAGGAUGAUGACGAUGCCGCUACAACCACAUCAGGCAGCUACACCAUUAACCCAGAGGACCUGGAUGAUGAUCUUAACUACCGAUGCUCUAAUGACUUCAUCGUGUAGUGAUGUCAUUUUGUGUGUGUGUGUGACUGUGCUUUACAAGUUCACGUACUACAAUUCACCAUAUUGUACUGAGUACCAGAGAUCGUAGUCAAGACUUCGUAUAUGCAGACCUGCCAAAAAAUUAUCUAAAUAUGAGUGUAUUCAGAUGAUGCAGGAACAAUUUUUAUUAAUGCCAGUAUUAAACGAUCAAGACACAAAACUAGAGCUGAUCAUAAGAAAUCUACAAAGCUGGUGUAGCUUUAAUCUGUGAUGCAUAAUUUCAUUCCAUUAUUGAACUGCUUUGCUCAUUUUCUCAGAAUUUCAUUUCUGGAUUUUUGAAAGCUUUGUGUUUUAUUGGGCCAUUCCAGGACCGCAGUGUUAAAGCUUUAUCAUUGUAAAAGCUUUAUUGGAGGCAACAACUUUGUCGUUUUAUUCGUUAUAUGCCAAGUUACAAUUUAUGCUCAUUAUUUUACAUGUUAUUAUAUAUUAAACCUUAAUAAUAAAAAAAAACAGAUAUGAAC
rnacentral:misc_RNA from 1 species